AGUGAACGCUGGCGGUAGGCCUAACACAUGCAAGUCGAACGGCAGCACAGUAAGAGCUUGCUCUUACGGGUGGCGAGUGGCGGACGGGUGAGGAAUACAUCGGAAUCUACUUUUUCGUGGGGGAUAACGUAGGGAAACUUACGCUAAUACCGCAUACGACCUACGGGUGAAAGCAGGGGAUCUUCGGACCUUGCGCGAUUAAAUGAGCCGAUGUCGGAUUAGCUAGUUGGCGGGGUAAAGGCCCACCAAGGCGACGAUCCGUAGCUGGUCUGAGAGGAUGAUCAGCCACACUGGAACUGGAACACGGUCCAGACUCCUACGGGGGGCAGCAGUGGGGAAUAUUGGACAAUGGGCGCAAGCCUGAUCCAGCCAUACCGCUUGGGUGAAGAAGGCCUUCGGGUGGUAAAGCCCUUUUGUUGGGAAAGAAAAGCAGCAGGUUAAUACCCCGCUGUUCUGACGGUACCCAAAGAAUAAGCACCGGCUAACUUCGUG
rnacentral:rRNA from 1 species